AUGAAACAACUCUAACAUAGACCCUUCUGGAAUAAUAAGAGGAAUGUGAUCGUAUAACGACUGAGAACAUGGUAUAUUAUUAUCAAGAAACUUUUGUGAGUUAAAAUUUUGCAUGUAAAUGGUGUCAUGAACUCCUCAUAAGAAGUUUUGUAAGAAGGGAUUAUUUUUAGAAUGUUUGAUCAUGAGAGUAAAUAGAGAUGAUGUCAUUCCCGCAUUAUCUAUUGUCGAUUUUUUUGCAUCACUAUUUCUUAUUAUAAUUUACUCUUUAUCAUUGAUAAUUUACACCAUGUUACUCAACUUUAAUGCCUUUCCCCUUCAGUUUGCAUGCAACACACAUAGAGAUGGUCAUCGCAAAAAAAAACACAUAGAGAGGGAAAUUCUUAGGAAAUUACCGUACAACUGAAAAAUAGGGCAAAACAACACAAGAAAAGGCAUUUCUUCUUGAGCUCCAAAAAUUCUAGAAAGUUUCUUGAGUUUUUUUGCUAAGGGGGGCACAGGGGUCCCAUGGACGCCUUUCAUGCGCACCUAUACGAGUGGGGCAUGUGGGCAUUGCCUCUUGACGUCCAUUGUCCAUAAAUUCCCUUCUGACCCAAAUGUACACGCGAAUUAAUCGGGAAUUGUCGCCGCUACGAGGCGAAACCGAGGCAGGGCACUUUUGUCCUCCGACGGGGUGAUUCUGUUGUAGAUCCAUCCCUUACGGAGGAAGAACUUAAAGCCAUCAUCAUCACUAUCUUUGUGAUCAUUAUCUCCAUCAACAUCUUCAUCAGGACCGCCAUAUUCAUCAACUCCCUUGACACCAUUUUUCUAAUCUAUGAACUUUUAUGUGAGAUCUUUUGUUGAGUAUAGAGUGUGGUAUUGAUUAGUACUUGUUGUUGAUGCUUAUAAACUUUAUUGGUGAAAUAUUCAGAUGUUCAAAUUGUUAUUCAUAUAUUUAUCUCCACUGAUCAUGAUCCAUAUGAUGUGUUAUGAGUGGUCCGUUCCGUUCUGAAGGGCAUGUGAUAAACCUUGUUGCUAGUAAUCUUGUGAAGUUGAAUCUAGUUCUAUAUUUUGAUCUUGUGUUGUCGUGUAAUUUUCUAAUGGUGAUGUGUGAACGUGACUACAUAUCACCCCACUGUUAAGGGCCUAAAGGAGUGCAUCAUGUGAUUAGUUUUUUCAUGUAUAGGUUUCCGGAGUGACAGAUAAUACCGUACUCUAAGUUUAUUACUGUUUUUGAG
rnacentral:lncRNA from 1 species